rfam:Schistosoma rodhaini strain Burundi genome assembly, scaffold: SROB_scaffold0001832
AUCCAAACUGACGAGUCCCAAAUAGGACGAAACGUGCAUUUUGGAU